rnacentral:tRNA from 1 species
CCUUCGAUAGCUCAGUUGGUAGAGCGGUGGACUGUAGAGCGAGUCGAGAGAGAGAGCGAUAGUAAUCCAUAGGUCACUGGUUCAAAUCCGGUUCGAAGGA